GGUUAAGCGACUAAGCGUACACGGUGGAUGCCCUGGCAGUCAGAGGCGAUGAAGGACGUGCUAAUCUGCGAUAAGCGUCGGUAAGGUGAUAUGAACCGUUAUAACCGGCGAUUUCCGAAUGGGGAAACCCAGUGUGAUUCGUCACACUAUCAUUAACUGAAUCCAUAGGUUAAUGAGGCGAACCGGGGGAACUGAAACAUCUAAGUACCCCGAGGAAAAGAAAUCAACCGAGAUUCCCCCAGUAGCGGCGAGCGAACGGGGAGGAGCCCAGAGCCUGAAUCAGUGUGUGUGUUAGUGGAAGCGUCUGGAAAGGCGCGCGAUACAGGGUGACAGCCCCGUACACAAAAAUGCACAUGCUGUGAGCUCGAUGAGUAGGGCGGGACACGUGGUAUCCUGUCUGAAUAUGGGGGGACC
rnacentral:rRNA from 1 species